ACUGAAUUAAUUGCUCUCUGUUGCUGAGCAAGGUGAAGACUUGAAGUAUAACAGAACACUUUGAAAGCAUCAAAUGCCAGGUGAAUGUCACGAAGUUCAGAAUGAUCCCCGUGCUUCAGCAUGGAUUUGAACACACAGUCCUUUUAGACUUGUGGCUCAGCAAUUUCCACAACAGCUCUUUGAAACCAUGUAUACUAAGAACAUAUGAAACCAAGAGGAAUAAAUUAUAGUGGAAAAGAUGAGGGAAACUAAAUAGGAGAAUGGGAAAUCAGAAUG